rnacentral:snoRNA from 1 species
AAACCAUGCAUAAGACGUUUUCUAAGCAACUUAAAUCUUUCCCAAGCUUCGUAAACUAUUUCACCCUCUUAUUGUCAAAAAGAUGUAAUGUCAUUUCUAAGCUU